rnacentral:siRNA from 1 species
UUAGUCUCUUUGUAUAUAACUCA